GACGAACGCUGGCGGCGUGCCUAAUACAUGCAAGUUGAGCGAUGAAGAUUGGUGCUUGCACCAAUUUGAAGAGCAGCGAACGGGUGAGUAACGCGUGGGGAAUCUGCCUUUGAGCGGGGGACAACAUUUGGAAACGAAUGCUAAUACCGCAUAACACCUUUAAACAUAAGUUUUAAGUUUGAAAGAUGCAAUUGCAUCACUCAAAGAUGAUCCCGCGUUGUAUUAGCUAGUUGGUGAGGUAAAGGCUCACCAAGGCGAUGAUACAUAGCCGACCUGAGAGGGUGAUCGGCCACAUUGGGACUGGGACACGGCCCAAACUCCUACGGGAGGCAGCAGUAGGGAAUCUUCGGCAAUGGACGAAAGUCUGACCGAGCAACGCCGCGUGAGUGAAGAAGGUUUUCGGAUCGUAAAACUCUGUUGGUAGAGAAGAACGUUGGUGAGAGUGGAAAGCUCACCAAGUGACGGUAACUACCCAGAAAGGGACGGCUAACUACGUG
rnacentral:rRNA from 1 species